CUUAUACUACAGUAAUUGGUAUUAUGGUUAAUAAGCUUUGGUAAAGUUGCUCAAAAUGCUUUCCAUUUUCCUGUUGCUAUACAGUUUAAAUUCUUUUGCUAAAUCAAAUGUGGACAAGAAAGCUUAUGUUUUUUAUUCUUGCUGGUCACUUCGUGAGAUAUCUCUGGAACAUUCGAUCACUGAUUAGAAUGACAGCAUCUUCUGUAACAGAAAUGUCACAUUCAGCAAUUUCUUCUCUUUCUGUGUCUGAUGAAAAUAGUCUGUUCAAUACUGCUUCUACCAUAUUUUUUUGUUUUUAUGACUUGGCAGCAAGAAGGGUUCUUUCAAGUUAUUUCUUUUUCAAUACUCCAGCAUCUUCAAGAUAGCUUAUUACUCCAACAACAUUUAUAAUUAAAC
rnacentral:lncRNA from 1 species